UUUUGAAUUGUUAUUUUGUUCUACGUAUAGCGUUUAUUCUUAAUAUUGGUCAUGUUUCUUGAUGAUUUAACAUUCUACAUUAAACUAUCUUGUAUUUGCAGGUUUUUGGAGUAAAUACGAUAGAUGGUACGACCUGAAAUUUUAGAACUUAGUUUGGAUUUUGAUCUUAUUGGCAAUACACUUUGGAAUAUGUUGCUACAUGUUAUCUUAUUUUACUUUUGAAACUUAUAUAUUUUCUAUUGAAG
rnacentral:lncRNA from 1 species